rnacentral:rRNA from 1 species
GUCGAACGGUGUAUAGCGCUGAAAAGGCUUCGGCCGAUUCUUGUUAUACAUAGUGGCGGACGGGUGAGUAACGCGUGGGGAACCUGCCUCAGACCGGGGGAUAGCAGCUGGAAACGGCUGAUAAUACCGCAUAAGCCUACAGGAUGGCAUCAUCCAGCAGGAAAAACUCGGUGGUCUGAGAUGGACCGCGUCUGAUUAGCCAGUUGGUAAGGUAACGGCCUACCAAAGCAACGAUCAGUAUCCGGCCUGAGAGGGCGGACGGACACAUUGGGACUGAGACACGGCCCAAACUCCUACGGGAGGCAGCAGUGGGGGAUAUUGCACAAUGGAGGAAACUCUGAUGCAGCGACGCCGCGUGAGUGAAGAAGUAUUUCGGUAUGUAAAGCUCUAUCACCAGGGAAGAAAAGACCUCGCAAGAGGGGAUGACGGUACCUGAAUAAGAAGCCCCGGCUAACUACGUGCCAGCAGCCGCGGUCAUACGUAGGGGGCAAGCGUUAUCCGGAUUUACUGGGUGUAAAGGGAGCGCAGACGGAAUGACAAGUCUGGAGUGAAAGCCCGCGGCUCAACCGCGGGACUGCUUUGGAAACUGCCAUUCUGGAGUGUUGGAAGGGUAAGUGGAAUUCCUGGUGUAGCGGUGAAAUGCGUAGAUAUCAGGAGGAACACCGGUGGCGAAGGCGACUUACUGGACAAUAACUGACGUUGAGGCUCGAGAGCGUGGGUAGCAAACAGGAUUAGAUACCCUGGUAGUCCACGCUGUAAACGAUGAAUACUAGGUGUUGGAGGACAUAGUCCUUCAGUGCCGGCGCAAACGCAUUAAGUAUUCCACCUGGGGAGUACGUUCGCAAGAAUGAAACUCAAAGGAAUUGACGGGGACCCGCACAAGCGGUGGAGCAUGUGGUUUAAUUCGAAGCAACGCGAAGAACCUUACCAGAUCUUGACAUCCUGCUGAAUGGCCCGUAAUGGGGCCAGUCCUUCGGGACAGCAGAGACAGGUGGUGCAUGGUUGUCGUCAGCUCGUGUCGUGAGAUGUUGGGUCAAGUCCCGCAACGAGCGCAACCCUUGUCCAUAGUAGCCAGCAGUAAGAUGGGCACUCUAUGGAGACUGCCGGGGAUAACCCGGAGGAAGGUGGGGAUGACGUCAAAUCAUCAUGCCCCUUAUGAUCUGGGCCACACACGUGCUACAAUGGCGUAAACAAAGGGAAGCGAGCCUGUGAAGGUAAGCAAACCCCAAAAAUAACGUCUCAGUUCGGAUUGUAGUCUGCAACUCGACUUCAUGAAGCUGGAAUCGAUAGUAAUCGCGGAUCAGCAUGCCGCGGUGAAUACGUUCCCGGGUCUUGCACACACCGCCCGUCACACCAUGGGAGUCAGAAAUGCCCGAAGUCAGUGACCCAACCGCAAGGAGGGAGCUGCCGAAG